rnacentral:misc_RNA from 1 species
UGGCUCUGGCAUCGAUGAAGAACGCAGCGAAAUGCGAUACGUGAUGCGAAUUGCAGAAUCCACGAGUCAUCGAAUCUUUGAACGCACAUUGCGCCUGCUGGCAUUCCGGCAGGCAUGCCUGUUCGAGCGUCAUUUCCACCCUCGGGCCCCCCUUUUGGGGGGGGGUCCGGUGUUGGGGCUCUGCUUCUUGGGAGGAGCCGUCCCUGAAAGAGAGCGGCGGGCCGUUUCCGUCUUCCAGCGGUAGUACUUGUUCUUCGCCGGAGAGAUGGGAGGGGAAGGCGCCAGCCUUAUUCGCGCCUUUCGGCGCCUAGCUGCGGGCUAGUAUUGAAAACGACCUCGGACAGGUAGGAAUACCCGCUGA